AUUGAACGCUGGCGGCAGGCUUAACACAUGCAAGUCGAACGAGUGGCGGACGGGUGAGUAAUGCUUGGGAAUCUAGCUAUGGAGGGGGAUAACUACGGGAAACUGUAGCUAAUACCGCGUACCAUAGGUUGAGCCCUAGUGGGAUUAGUUAGUGGGUGAGGUAAUGGCUCACCAAGCCGAUGAUCUGUAGCUGGUCUGAGAGGAUGACCAGCCAAACUGGGACUGGAAAACGGCCCAGACUCCUACGGGAGGCAGCAGUGGGGAAUAUUGCGCAAUGGGGGCAACCGUACGCAGCCAUGCCGCGUGAAUGAAGAAGGCCUUCGGGUUGUAAAGUUCUUUCAGUAGCGAGGCGUUAACGACAGAAGAAGCACCGGCUAACUCCGUGCCAGCAGCCGCGGUAAUAC
rnacentral:rRNA from 1 species